CCAACAGGGAUUGCCUCAGUAACGGCGAGUGAAGCGGCAACAGCUCAAAUUUGAAAUCUGGCCGCAAGGUCCGAGUUGUAAUUUGUAGAGGAUGUUUUGGGUACCGCCGUGGUUUAAUUUUCUUGGAACAGAAAGCCACAGAGGGUGAGAGUCCCGUCUUGGACCGCGGUAGGGCCUAUGUAAAACUCCUUCGACGAGUCGAGUUGUUUGGGAAUGCAGCUCAAAAUGGGUGGUAAAUUUCAUCUAAAGCUAAAUAUUGGCCAGAGACCGAUAGCGCACAAGUAGAGUGAUCGAAAGAUGAAAAGCACUUUGAAAAGAGAGUUAAACAGUAUGUGAAAUUGUUGAAAGGGAAGCGCAGGCAACCAGACUCGCGCGCGGGGUUCCCCCUGGCUUCUGCCUGGGUCACUUCCCCGCGUCCGGGCCAUCAUCAGUUUUGGGGACCGGUUAAAGGUCUCGGGAAUGUAUCCUCUUCUUCGGAGGAGGACUUAUAGCCCGGGGCGUCAUGCGGCCUCCUGGGACUGAGGAACGCGCUUCGGCGAGGAUGAUGGCGUAAUGGUUGUCUGCGGCCC
rnacentral:rRNA from 1 species